GCGGUUUCAGAGGAUGAGAAUACAUCUAGCCUGUAAUGCCUGAUGAAGGUGUUGAAUGAUGACCAAGAAGCCACCUUGCAAAUUUCUGCGGACGAAGCAAGAGCCUUUUCUGCCCAUGAUGUAGACAUUGCUCCUGUGGAAUGUGCUGUAAGAGAAGUAGGUAUAGGAAGGUUACUGGAAGCAUGCGCCAUCUUAAUUGUAUCCAUUAACCAACGAGAGAUAGAAGUACGAGAGGCUCUUUCCCCUUUAAAUUUCCCUUGGAAAUUGACAAACAGGUGAUCAGAUUUUCUAUAAUUGGCAGUUCUUGAUAGGUAGAUCUGUACAGCUCUUCUAACAUCCAAUUUAUGCCAUUUUAGUUCCUGCGGCAAGGUGGCAUUAUUGCAGAAGGAAGGUAAAACGAUGGGCUGAUUAACAGCUCUAGAAGCGAUAACCUUCGGAAGGAAUGAAGGCUUAGUAUGGAGCACUACCUUAUCUUGAUGGAAUAUAAUGAAUUUGUACAAUGAAGAAAGAGCUUGAAGUUCAUCUACUCUUUUGGCAGAGGUGAUGGCCACCAAGAAGGCUGUCUUGAGUGUUAGAUUCUUCAAUGGGACCUUCUUCUAAGGUUCAAAAGGAGGUUCACAGGGC